UAGGAGGGAAGCUCUACCAGAGGCAACAGCCUGGUGUUCAACUACAGUCCUCUGUAAUCCCAAGGAAGAAGGCAGGUGUGAGGGAGGAGCAGGAUUAGGUCCAUGUCAUCCUAUGGCCACUCCUGCUGGGCACCUGGAGAGGGGAGCAAGAUGCCCACGUGAGCUGCCAUGGCCAUGCCUGUGUCCUGUCAGGAGCCCGGGAGUGAGGCCACAGCACAGGCAUGUCAAACACAUUGUCAGAAGGCGCUGAAGUGGCUGGGUUUAUUUUAAUCUGGAAAUGUGGCCCUUGCUGCCUUUUAUGAUGUGCCAGUCUAAGCUGCCUCUGGCAGCUGUGAGAAUAUUGGUUUUGGCAGACAGCUGCAAAGAGCAGCAGACUGGAAGGAGUCAGCAACAAAUGUGAUAAAAGGGGGAAAGUUGCUGAUGCCAGGAGGAAAAGCACAAGGUCCUGCUGAUUACCAGAACCCCUUCAGGAGCUGUGAGGAAGAGGAGGUCUCCUCUGACACUGGGAUGGGAAAGCAAGAUGCUUGGCCAAAGGACUGGUUGCCCUGUGCCUGCCUGGUUUGUACUGGAGUGCCCAAUGUCUGGGUGAAGACACAACAAUGGGUCACAACUGCCCAUAACCUCACAGGAGACUGCUCUGAGCACACCAGUGCUCUGGAGUUUCUGGAAUAA
rnacentral:lncRNA from 12 species